AACGUAGGAGACGAACGUUAUCCGGAGUUACUGGGCGUAAAGGGCGUGUAGGCGGUUUGUUAAGUCUGGCGUGAAAGCUCUCGGCUAAACCGGGAGAGGUCGUUGGAUACUGGCGAACUAGAGGAUGGUAGAGGCGUGUGGAAUUCCGGGUGUAGUGGUGAAAUGCGUAGAUAUCUGGAGGAACACCGGUGGCGAAGGCGGCAUCCUGGACCGGCAUUGACGCUGAGGCGCGAAAGCCAGGGGAGCAAACGGGG
rnacentral:rRNA from 1 species